UACGUAGGGGGCAAGCGUUGUCCGGAAUCAUUGGGCGUAAAGAGCGUGUAGGCGGCCCGGUAAGUCCGCUGUGAAAGUCCAGGGCUCAACCCUGGGAUGCCGGUGGAUACUGUCGGGCUCGAGUCCGGAAGAGGAGUGUGGAAUUCCUGGUGUAGCGGUGAAAUGCGCAGAUAUCAGGAAGAACACCCGUGGCGAAGGCGGCUCUCUGGGACGUGACUGACGCUGAGACGCGAAAGCGUGGGGAGCGAACAGG
rnacentral:rRNA from 1 species